rnacentral:lncRNA from 1 species
CACAUAAUGAAAUAUGAAAUUCACUUUGAAUUCUCAUUGUAGUAAAUAUACUCCUAUGACUAUUUUGUGAUGAUUUAAGAACUUUUUUUAUUUGUGUAACACCUCCUUGUAUGUUGUGGGGAGUAGACAUCUGCCUUGCAAAACUUGGCCAAAGUAGUCAUAUUGGGGAAAAAAAUAUCUCCAAAUCAGUUGCGUCUAAGAAUUUUUCCAGUUUAUCUUAUUUUGACCUACAUUUUACAAUUAGGAGUUAAAUCUCUUUAUUUAUGACCUGGAUCCAUUUAUAGCUGGAUAUUGUUAAUACAUAUAAAAAAAUCAAUAUUUAAAAAGUUGCUUUUAUCCCUCUGAGUGAACACUAUAGAGAUGAUGAACAUUUAAGUCUCUAUGCUACUAGCCAAGCUUAAAAGUUACUUGCCUCUGCAAGCCUGGAGGGUCUAUGGCACACUAACCAAGAAUUUUCUACUGGCCAUAGCUGAAUUUUCACUCACCAAUGGCUAGUGGGCAUGUGUAUAUUUGAGCUCUGAUUAAGGUGCGAUAAAGUUUAGCUAUUUUUCUUAUCCUGGGAUUUAAGUUACUGGCACAUUCUCCAAGAAAGGGGCAUUUUAAUGGUGCAGAGCAGUCUUUGAAAUAAGCAGUUGGGUUGUAUAUAUUAAUGGUGCUGAUAUUUAGGGCUAAUUGUUCAGUAAUGGCAGGUGGAGAAUGAUGUCCUCCAUUCUAUGGUGCUUUUUAUAUAUGUGUUUUCAGUGACGAGGAAUGAAGUAAAAAUGCUAAUGUACAUCACAGCUUAUGUACACGGGUCAGCCCUCACUUACUGAAUAGUAUUAGCCGGCAUCAGGCAAAUCAUGUACCAGCAAUCAUUUUAGCUUGUGCCACACCUAGGGACACGUUCCAUAUUGCCAUGCUGAUCGACAAAUCCCAAAAUCCCUGGCAUUACAAAUAAAUAUAUGUGCUCAGGGCAUCCUGCUUUCUGAGUUAUUACCUUUAACAGCAAGGUUAUUCACUAAGGUGUGAAUUGCAAGGGAUUCAAAGUGAAAUCAAAGUUAGUCGACCUGAAAACACAGCUGGUUUACAAAAUGUUUCCAGUUUGGCUGUUUUACCCCAAAAUCGGGAAAUGUAACCUAUACAGGGUUAUUCACUAAAGUGAGAGUUGUUGGGAAUUCAAAGUGAGUUUCAAAGUAAUUGAACUGGAAGAAUUCCUGACUUGGAGAAUGUUUCCAGUUUGGUUAGUUUGAUCUGGAAAUUCACUUUGAACUCACUGGGAAUUCUUGGCUAGACUCACUUUAGUGAAUACGUGAUAAAGGUCUAUGUAAGGGUUAGACAGGCUAUGGUCUUACAGCUACUGCCCAACUGCAAUCCUAGUUACUCUCAGCCAGCCAAAGAAACAGAGGAUACUACAGAGCAAAUUGGGUUAUGAACUAUUGUCUCUUGAUGAGAGUUCAGUGUCAGAUCUUCAUGGAAAUGAAUAUCCAUCCAUUCACAGCCGGAGGGCCAAGACUGGAUACCCCCCGAUACCCUUACUUAAAGGGACACUCUAGGCAGUACACAAUACAUUUUUUGUAAUGCUUUAUAUUGAUAAUGCAUUUAAAAUAUAUAUAAAUACAAAAUAAAUUUUUUUAAAAAUAGAAAACCUAAAGAUGACAUUACUGCAUUUGCUUCAAAUCAACAGGCUUUGCAGCUUCUGCAGUGAGGCAGUAUUAAUCAAAAAAAAAGUGGGAGUUUGGGUCCUGAUUAUUUGGUGAGAUUUUCUGCAGCCACACAAUAUUGCGUCUCGUGAUCCACCAUGUUUUCCUGGCCAUAUAACUCUUAUUCUAACUGACAAGCAAUACAUAAAACAAAUUGACUGUAAUAUGUAGCAUUCAUAUGCUACAGCAGGAGGGAGAUUAAUCAAGGCAGUUCUUUUUAGAUUCCAUCAGGAUAAGUAUUACAGACAAUAGGUUAGCACUCUUCAUGUACUGCCCAACAACAUGUAUGAGAGACACGUGUCCCAGAAAGUCUGUUUAUCUACCAGCUCUCUAAUUAACAUGAAUCCAGCCCCAAGCACUUACAAACAAUCUUCUUGAUGACAAGGACGUUUUGGUCAAACAAUAUGAAGCUUAUAAUUUCAAUUAACUUAUUAAAAAUUACUUUUCGUUUUCCUGUCUAUUUUAAAAGUUCCUUUUUUUGCGUGUUUGAUCAGUUACUGUUUUUACUAGACUAUCACCUGCUGGGAAUUUAAAGCAAAUUUUACAUUUCAGACCACACUAGUCAAACUGGAAAUAUUCUCCAAGUUAGCUAUAUUUUCAGUUUUCAGCUAUAAUCACACUUUAGUGAAUAACUUUGCAGGUGUGAGAAGUUGAACUUUAAUUAAUUAUUUGUUGCUGGGUCUGCCAUGUUUUUACUGGAAGGCUUACAGGCUUGAUGUCUUGCUGUUGGGCUGUACAUGAAAAGUUCUCGCUUACAGUAUGUAACGUCCACAUGCUGCUGAAGAGAAAUCUGUUUAUCGCAGUGUUUACAUCCGACACACAUUAAACUGUCAUUAUAUUCGUUACGGAUUUGGUUAUAGACAGUGUAAGGUCUUAAUUAAAUAAAUGAGAAAAUAAACAGGCAAGUUAUCUCGAGAUGUGUUGGAUAUCAGUAUAAGUACUUUAAAAUGCUCAUGUCUAGUCACACGUGGGUAGAAAAUAACAGGUAUUCUCAAUUUCUUGUGAAAUUAGCAGCUUACUGGCUCAUUAACUUCUUCAUUACCAAUUUAUUAGCAAACAAAUGACCACUGCAAUCUAGAUUGAUUUUAAGUUAUGUUGUAUCUCUUAUUUUAUUGGGGCACUUGCACAAAGAAUGUGUCCUUUAACCCUCUCCGAUGCAUAUUUCAAAGUUUUAUUGGAGGCAAAAUUAAGUGAUUAAUACAGUCUUCAUUUCACUUAGUUACUGAAUUACCAUACCUCCCAAGUCUUUCUUUAGGAGGGACAGUUCCUACUUUAUCCCCAAAUAUCAUCUAUCCCUUUUUUCUAUCCUAAUGUCCCUCUUUUCUAGUAGCUUCGUAUUGUUAGUGUGUGAGUGUAUAACGAAGCUCCACAGCAAUAAUACUCCCAGUAAUGUGUCUUUAAACUACAAUAAAUGUGUUUAGAAACCAGUCUGUGGAAAUAAGACACAUUGUUCUUGUUUUACGUUACAUUUUAGGUUCCAUUAAUCAGUAGGUUAUGACAUCACCUAAAAGGUCCUGUUAUAACCCCGCCGCUGGCUACAUAAUUCAGAGCGAAGAGUCUCUUUUUGGCACAUGAAAUGCUGGAAAGUAUAAAAAAGUAAUUAUUUUCAAUUAUAUUUAGUAAUAAUGUUUUUUUUUUAAAGUGCCUCUAAUAACAGCAGCAAGAGGUAAUAUUACUCCCUGUGUCAUGUGUUCUGCUCACUCAGAUUUAAUCAUAUAUCUAAUUAUCAGCUUUACAUUUAUAUUUAAAACUUUUCAACACUUGGGGUAAGUCUUAUAGGUGAGAUUUCUAGUAGCAGCAGGUAUUUAGUUGGUUUAUGAAUUAACUGUUGGCUUGUAAGAACUGCUUAGUAAGUGGAAGGCUGAGACAAUUUCAUCAGCGGUUGUUGGACCAGUGGACACGGCCACCAAUGAUCCAUUUAUUCUGAACAUUUCAAUUUUUCCAAAAUUUGGUAAUCCAUAAAGGUACACUAUAGGCACCCUGACCAGUUCAGUUCAUUAAAGUGCGCUGGGUGCAGUGACCCUGUCCCCGUAAUCCUGCAAUGUUAAUUCUGAGAAAUUUCAAUAAUUACCUUGCAGGGUUAAGACUUCCUCUAGUGGCUGUUAAUCAGACAGCCACUAGAGGCACUUACUGGUGGUUAGGUGACUUCUGGUUGCCUAACUGACGCUGGACAUCCUCAUGCUCUGCAUGAGAACAUCGAGCAUCAGUCAAAACCCUCAUAGAAAAGCAUUGCCGAAAGGGCCUAAUAUGCUUGCAGCAUUUACAGUGCAUGCGCAUUAUCGUUUCCCCCGUUGGAUACGUCGGAGGGGGCAGAGUGCAGACUGAGCACCAAGGGACAUCGGCACUGGAAUCGGGUUGGUAUAGUAAGGGUUUAACCCUUACACUGCUGGGGAGCUAUAGUGCUAGGAAUACAACGUUGUACUCCUAGCACUAUAGUUUCCCUUUAAAUCUUGGACUAUUACAUGGACAUUGAAAGUGGACAAAAAUGGAAUAGAAUGAAAUCUGUAAAGAUGGGUAUCAUGUAGCACAUUGUAGCUAGCCUUUUUCUAAUUUAAUAAAAAAAUAAAAAUAAAAAAAAUCAAUUGCAAUUAUAAUAAUAUUGAUAGAGAGUUUUAACAAAGGUCAGAUAUUUUGCUGUGUGGCGUUUUCCUGUUAGGGUAGUUAUUUGGCCUUAUGGGUGAUUUUAGGCUACAGGAUCACAUUAAAUAGGAUCCAUGUUGUAUAUACUUCUAUUUAUGGUUCAUCAUACAUUUUGUUAUUUUUCUGAAGGCAAGGAGGUGUGCUUGUUAUAGCGGUUUAUGUGCAGAUAUUUAAGACGAAAUAAAUAUAUAUAAAAAAUAUAUAUAUAUAUACACAGACAUAUAUAUAUAGUGAAAAAGAGAGAGGUCUAUAUAUAGAUAAGUAUAAAGUAUGUUUUAUUUUUGUAUCAAGCGACUGAUCUGGGAUUUAUUCUCUGAUUUUGGUUUUACUGGUUCAUUAGUUGGGAAAUGUCAUGCCCGCUACAGGGAUGAGGUAAAAGAAACGUUUUGGUGCUAUAGCUUUUUGGCUAUCGUAGUCAGAAUCUUUGGUGCAACUGGCUUCCCAGAUAGGGAUAAAUGGUGAAAUGCAUUAAAGUUCUUCUAUAAGGAUCAGUGUUGUGAAUAGCGCAGGGCUAUCUGUCUGUUAUAAGGUAAUUAUUGGUAACAAUCUCUGCAGACAUGGAUUUAUAGUUCAUGGGUAUCUCAAGACUGGCAGUCCCACUCAGUCCCUGGUUUUAAGAAAUGUAUCUUUUUUAUUUGUAAGUUAUUCAUUCACUCACCUCACGUUACUCACCGCAUUCACUAAAAUUCAGAUUGAAAUCAAAAUAGCCAAUUGUCUGUGGCGUUUAUUUAAGGCAUUCAAAGGAUAACUGUAAUCAAAAUUUCACUGAUUGUUUUGUUUUUUUUUUUUUUUUUUUAGAUUCUUACAUUAAAUGAAAAUUCGUGUUUUUUUGUAUUUUGUUUAGUUUUUUAGAGAAAAUGUCACUCUUUAUCUGUUUGAGCCGCCAUGUUGAGUCAAAUUCUAUCUACUAUUAUCUCAUCACCUGCUGCUCAAACUAACUUGUUGCUGCUGCGAAACGGUUGCAGCAUCUAACAAAACAUGGCUGCUCAGUUAGUUUAAAAAAGAAAAAAAAUCUCAUAAAAAUCACCAUACAUUAUUAAAUAAACAAUCAUUACGUUUCAUUAAAUGUAAUAUACUUGUACAAAACAAAAAUUUAGACUUUUUUUGACAGAUGUCCUUUAAGUAAAUAAUGGCCUGAGGUUUGGCUAAUUUUGACCCACAGGGGGAAAGUAUGGAACAUGUGUAGUGCAGGGCUGCAUUUAAAUCACUUCAUCCCCUGGGCAGUACACUGUUGCUUUAAUGGUUUCUGUAUGGUAAGGUGGCAAAUGUGGCUUUAUGGUGCAAUAGAAUGGUGUAGGAAUCUUUGUAAAUCACUGUAACAAUAAAUGGAUAUUUGACAGUGUGUGUAUAUAAGACAAGGAAAAUAUAACAAUAGAAUGUUUUAUUAAUCCCUAGAUUCUGGGUUGACAAUUAAAACAUAAACCGACAGAAAAGCUGUGAUCUCCUGACAUACUGAAUCAAUGCGGACCAGACAAACUUUGCUUUAGGUUUCAGGUUUUAAAGCUUCCUUUUAGGGUCCACACUCAGGACAUUUGACUUCUGGAUCUCUUGAAGAUUUUAUCAGAAAGUCUAGAAGCAGCUAAACGUUUCUGGGAAUGUUGGCAAUGUAUCUGGUGACUCCUCUGUAUCUUUAGCCCUUAUAUAAGGGUGCCACCACCCUUCAGUGCCUUAUUGCCAUCAGAAGCACAUGUUCCAUCGAAAAAAAUAAAAUAUAACCCAUCAAAGCCUUAUGUGGACCAUAUAAAUUUGGUGGGAAUAAUGCUUUGAAUGCACACAAAUGAGGUCAACAUUAAUAAUGAAAGGUGUUGGGAUCAAGGCAAAAUUGUUUAGAAGUUGCUGCUCAUAAUUUGUUUUAUGGGGAAAGUUGUGAUAUUUACUAAGCACAUAGUGUACAUGUGGGAUCUAUAAAUCACAAUAAAGCCAAUAAUAUAUACACUCUGUGUUGGAGCCAUGUGAAAGGACACAUCUCACUAGUAGAGUUUUUUUCUUUUUUCAAACUGUUAUAACUCGCGUUGUGAUGCUCAUUAAUUUAAUUGAACCCAAUUUAUAAUUAUUUUUGAAUAUUAAUUAAACACAAACAAACAACAGCAAAAGGAGCUUUAUAACUAAAAUGUGCAUCUAAUCUGUAAAGAUUUGUACCAUCGUAGAUAUACUGAGUACUGUGUGAAUGUGUUUGAUACAUAGUAACAGCUCUCUGCUUUUUCACCCCAUUCCUGUCAGUGAUUUUUAGCAUUGUGACAUUAAACAAGGGGUAUUUAGGGUUGCUGGAUCCACUGCAUUGUCUUUGACAUGUAUUGUUUCAUCAUGCUGUAGGGCAGUCCAUGAAAGGUUGUGCCUUUAAGGUAGAAAUAUACCCUCAUUUUGUUGGAGCACUUUACACAGGAAGCCAUUCAUCACGUAGCAGUAAUUGUGCCAAGGGCAGGGGUAGGAAACCUUCAGCACGCCACGGGUUGUGCACUACAUGUCCCAUAAUGCUCUUCAAAGCAUCAUGGGAGAUGUAGUCUACAACAUCGGGAGUGCUGAAGGUUGUCUAUCCCUGGCAUAGGGAAACAUGGAGAAUCUGAAGAAUCCAAGGCAAUAUAAUAUGAGUUCACGCUGAUAAGUCAUAGAAUGUUAUUUUAAAUAGUCUAAGACUCAUUAAAUGAGACUUAUCACUUCUCUGGAAAUAACACCAUGAAAUAAAACAUUGAAAUCACCAAUAAUUUGUGUUAACCUUAUUAUUAUUAUUAUAUUUUCAUUUGAUACUCUAUUUCAUAUAAAUUUAUAUUUAGCAACAACACAGUCCUGUUUAUUCCUAGCACAGCCAAGGCACAUAUUGCAUUGGGAUGCUUGUGGUUCUCCUCCUCUAAUGUGACAGAAAAAGGCGGAGCUUAUACUGAUUGACAAGGAGCCAAGAUGGAGGCGUCCAGUUUCAGGAUAGAGUUAAAUACAGCCAUGGGGAUUAAUACAUUUAAUUCUAUUUUUCAUAAUUUUAAACACAAAUUUGUUAUAUUUUGAGCAUAACAAAAAAACAAAUGUUAAAAAUCUGGGAAUUCAUAGUUUCCAUUUAAAUGACCACUAUAGGCACCCAGACCACUUCAGCUCAAUGAAGUGGUCUGGGUGCCAGGUCCCUCUAGUUUUAACCCUGCAGCUGUAAACAUAGCAGUUUCAAAGAAACUGCUAUGUUUACACUAGUUAAUCCAGCCUCUAGUGGCUGUCUCACUGACAGCCACUAGAGGCCUUUCGCGAUUCUCAUUGUGAAAAUAAAUCAUAGUGAGAAGAAGCUGACGUCCAUAGGAAAGCAUUGAGUAAUGCUUUUCUAUGGGCGUUUAUAAGGCACGCGCGGCUCGGGAGCCAAUGUCGGAGGGGGAGAAGAGGUCACCGGUGCAGAGAAAGCCCGGCGCUGGAUAAAGGUACAUGGCUGAAGGGGUUUAUCCCCUUCAGCCCAACGGGAGGGGGGCCAUGUUGGUGGGGGCACCUAAGGACUACAUAGUGCCAGGAAAACGAGUUUGUUUUCCUGGCACUAUAGUGGUCCUUUAAAGGCCGUCUUCCUUUUUAACAACAUUUAAAAAAAAAAAAAAACUUGUUAAAAUUAUGCAGGAUUUUUUUUUUUUUUUUUUAACAUUGUAUCUUUGCUUUGUGAUUUGUGUGUAUUAAGUGUGUAUAAAAGCAAAUUGAUAGGAGGGAGAAUGCAACCUUGGAGCUUGUUAAAAAUGCUGAUUUGUCUUAAAAUCUGCACUUUUAUAAAGUACAAGUGAGGGGGGACACUCUGUUAAUCCCUAAAUUACUUCAGCUGAAAUGUUUUAGGGGCUUGGAGCGUUUCUUUAAACUAAUAUGGCCUAUGACUAGAGCGUUUUAGAUGAACACAUUAUUAUUACUGGUAUUUAUAUAGCGCCAGCAUAUUCCGUAGCGCUUUACAAUAUUAACAUAUCACUCCUUCAUGCUGAUGGACAAUACAUGAAAAGUGAUUCCUGACAUAUUAACCAUUCAUAUGCCGCUGAAGGGAAAUGCAUUCAUUAAUGAAGGCAUUUCAUUUGGGAUUCUACCUUGAUUGAUGAAUUGACUUCCUUUCUGCAGUUUUUGAGUUUUACAAACCACAUCUAUUUUCAUGCCCUGCCUAUGGAAAUCAACAUGAGCCUAUUCGGAAGGGCAGAUCUGGUUGUCCCUCUGUGCUUUGCCACUGUGCACUGGUUUGCAUUACCUGAUGUGCACAAAUCCUGAAAUAGUAGACCACAAAAUUACUGAAAUAGCAGACUGCAAAAUUACUGAAAUAGCAGACCACAAAAUGGCACUAAGUCACACGUGUCUGGUUUGUUAAACGUAUCAAUGCAUAUGUUGUCAAGUUAUCCACAGCAACACUUUUAUAUGUGGACACAUUCAAUAAAUAGCUAAAUUAAACACUAGUUUAAAAAAAUAGGACAAAGUAGACAAAUUGGAAAAAAGUUUGGGUGAAUUUGAACAAAAAGAUUGUUUUCCAGUUUGUCUCUUUUGGCUUAAAAGUUACAAGUGCUUGUCAGUGAAUGUCCCUGUAGACUUUAUUAAAAACAUUACCUAAGGAACACUAUAGGGUCAGGAACAGAAACAUAUAUUCCUGACCCUAUAGUAUUAAAACCAACAUCUAGUCCCCCUAAUUAUAGUAAAAUAAUACCUUUAUCCCAGUCUGCUGCUGCUGGCUCUGCCACUGAUCUUCCUUUUGGCUGACAUGUUCAGAAGUGGUGAUCAUAGCCAAUCACAAUGCUUUCUAAUAGGAAAGCAUUGGAUUGUCUGAGCUUGUCAAUAAGGCAGAUUAGGGGCAGAGCCAGCACAAGCCAAACACAGCCCUGGCCAAUCAGCAUCGCCUCAUAGAGAUCCAUUGAAUGAACUGAAUAUCAGUAACACUGUGCAGCACUGCCCCAGGAAGCACCUCUAGUAGCCAUAUGAGGAGUGGCCAGUGGAGGUAUCACUAGGCUGUAAUGUAAACACUGCAUUUUCUCGGAAAAGACAGUGUUUACAGUAAAAAUCCUCCAGGUAAUGAUUCUACUCACCAGAAUAAAUACAAUAAGCUGUAGUUGUUCUGGUGACUAUAGUAUUUGUUUAAUACACACAGCAGUUUAUUUGCUGCACAGGUAGCUAUAGUAAAUUGAAAAGCAAAUUGCAGAAUUUUGAUCAAAAUAGCCAGACAGAAAAAAUUGCUGAUUUGAUUAUUUUUUUCAAUCUGACUAAUUUGGCCUAAAAUGUAAAAUAGGGUUUUCAUUUCACAGCAAGCUGUAUCGGGACUCAAACUAAUUUUCAAACUCACCUUUAUUAAGCUCCAGUUUACAAAAAAUGUACAUUUCCUGCCAAUUCUCAAUUUAGUGAAAAACACUGAGUAUUUAGUUAAAAAGCCUUAGAACAUUUUUGGCUUAAAUAGUGUAGAAUUCUCUAAAAGUCAGUGUUCCGUGGGGCAUCAUCAACCAACUGAAGACAUAUCCAUACUUUUACAUUCCCCGUACCUUUAUUCAUAUGCUGUUAAUUUACAUCAGACAACAGUUUUGGCACAGUUUGCCCUGGUUCAUUCCUCUUUAAACACAUCAUAUCUAACUGACUGAACCUCUAGAACAGGGGUUACCAACCCAAACCUUAAGUACCCCCUAUCAGUCCAGGAUUUAAGGAUUACCCUGUUAUGUCUAAAGUGUUUUGGGAUUUUUCUUUCUAAAAACAUCUUAGACACAACUGGUUUAAUCCCUAAAUCCUGGACUGUUAGGGUGUACUUGAGGACUGGGUUGGGAACCCCUGCCCUAGAAUGUCCAAAGACCUUGUAGUUUGUUUUGUAUUUAUAUAUUUAUUUUUUAAAAUGUAUUCUAUUGUAUUUCAUUUGCAUUCCUCAUCAGUUGGCAAAAACAAUUUUACAGAAUAUGAUAUGUAUUCCUGUUUAUACACAAUCAUCAUUGACCAAUCCGAUAUUCUGUCCAGGAGAAAUAUCACAAAGCACAUUUUGUUGGGCAUCACAUGAAACGUAUUGUCCUAUACUACAUAGCAUUCACAUACUGCACAAGUGCAAAAUCAAUUAGUUAAUCAAUCAGGGAGGGAUCUCAAAGAAACUGCUUUGAUUCAUUAAUUGUUUUCCUUCUUGUAUCAUGUGAAUUUUGCAGGCAGUACUCUUUAUGCACAGCCCAAAAGACUGAAGAAGUGAUGUUUGUUCAAGAAAUGGUGAUUCUGGCAAUUCUAAAGGCAAUCCAUUUAACUGCUUCUUUGGUUUAUGUACCUGUGUUUAAUUAGGAAUAUCGUUAAAUUAUGGCCUUUUGUUAACUAUUAAACAACUAUUAAACAACUUUUCCCCCCAAAUUUUUUUAUUAUUUUAAAUACAACAAAAAAAACAACAACCCACCACGAAGUCUGUCGGGAUGACAGUACUGAGCACACUAACUGAUAUUUACUUACAGAAGAUAAACAUCUAAAUUCAGGAACAAACAGAUGAAACAGUAUUAACAUUAUAAGCAUCAUGGUCAGUUCCAAAUGAGAUCUAAAUUUUUUUAAUUAAAAUAACAAUUAGGAUUUCUCCCACAAAGGAUUUGUAACCCUUUCAGAUUAUAGGGGAUAUUUGAUUAUUUUAUGUUAAUCUGCAGGUUGAUUAACAAUCAUUGCGCCUGUACCUGAUGUAGAUAUGCGAUUUCUUAACUGUUUGGGGAAAAUAGUGUCUAUCAAUACGAACAGGAAACUUACGCAGAGGUUUUAGAAGUAAUGCAUUCACACACUUUUGAAGUCUACUGUUUUAAGCGUGCUCCAGACACAACCAAAAUACUCUGUUGUAUAUAGAAAACUAAAAUAAUUUUUUUGUACACACUUGUAAUCUAAUUUUAAAAGAGGGUGAUUUUUUUUUCUAGAAGUAGGUAAAGUCAGUUUUUGUUGAACAAGGGUCUCUGACUGAAGCAGUGUGGUGUCAGAAGUAGGAUCUCAAGAUAAUCAAUCACUUUGUUAAAAAGAGCAGACGAUAACGGGAAUUCUGUUCAGAUGCCAGUAUCACAGGAGCUAGUAUGGCUAGAACAUUGUUUUAUUUCAGGGGGAAAAAAAAGACAUGAAAAAUCGUAAAAUAAUCUGUUCACAAAACUAAAUGAUUUGGGAUAUGGGUUUUGUUACAUUUAUUCAAGUGGGGAGAAAAAAUAUAACAGAAACCUCACGACAAGUAAAAGAUGGGAACACAAAAUAAAAGUCAUUUUCAAUAAAUAUUUGUACAAGUGAAUGCAUAUUUAAUGAAACAAAGACAAAUCUUAAAAUAAAUAUAUCUGUUUUAUAUUUGAUAUUUUCUUGCCUUUUUCUUUCAAUAACAAGGAGAUAAAAGGACUUUUUUUUCAUGGACCACUGAGCACAAUUAAUAAGAUUUGGAUAG